GAUGAACGCUGGCGGCGUGCUUAACACAUGCAAGUCGAGCGAGAAGUUUUGAAAAGAUUCUUCGGAUGAAAUUUAAAAUGGAAAGCGGCGGACGGGUGAGUAACGCGUAGGCAACCUGCCCCAUACAAAGGGAUAGCAUUUGGAAACGAAUAUUAAUACCUUAUGAAACUUAACUAGUGCAUGCUAGGUAGGUCAAAGAUUUAUCGGUAUGGGAUGGGCCUGCGUCUGAUUAGCUAGUUGGUGAGGUAACGGCUCACCAAGGCGACGAUCAGUAGCCGACCUGAGAGGGUGAACGGCCACAUUGGAACUGAGACACGGUCCAAACUCCUACGGGAGGCAGCAGUGGGGAAUAUUGCACAAUGGGGGAAACCCUGAUGCAGCAACGCCGCGUGAAAGAUGAAGGCCUUUGGGUCGUAAAGUUCUGUUCUAGGUGAUGAAAACUGACAGUAACCUAGGAGAAAGCCCCGGCUAACUCCGUG
rnacentral:rRNA from 1 species